CGCGUGGGUAACCUGCCUCAUACAGGGGGAUAACAGUUGGAAACGACUGCUAAUACCGCAUAAGCGCACAGGAUCGCAUGAUCCGGUGUGAAAAACUCCGGUGGUAUGAGAUGGACCCGCGUCUGAUUAGCCAGUUUGGCAGGGUAACGGCCUACCAAAGCGACGAUCAGUAGCCGACCUGAGAGGGUGACCGGCCACAUUGGGACUGAGACACGGCCCAA
rnacentral:rRNA from 1 species